AAUGGAGGAAACUCUGAUGCAGCGAUGCCGCGUGAGUGAAGAAGGCCCUUGGGUUGUAAAGCUCUUUCGUCGGGGAAGAAAAUGACUGUACCCGUAUAAGAAGGUCCGGCUAACUUCGUGCCAGCAGCCGCGGUAAUACGAAGGGACCUAGCGUAGUUCGGAAUUACUGGGCUUAAAGAGUUCGUAGGUGGUUGAAAAAGUUAGUGGUGAAAUCCCAGAGCUUAACUCUGGAACUGCCAUUAAAACUUUUCAGCUAGAGUAUGAUAGAGGAAAGCAGAAUUUCUAGUGUAGAGGUGAAAUUCGUAGAUAUUAGAAAGAAUACCAAUUGCGAAGGCAGCUUUCUGGAUCAUUACUGACACUGAGGAACGAAAGCAUGGGUAGCGAAGAGGAUU
rnacentral:rRNA from 1 species